CAUGUAUGUAAUUUCUCUGUUUUGCUCAUGCAAAUUGGGAAAUUUAUACCCAGGUGCAAGUUUGUGAGAAGUACUGCAGUGUUAUUUGUUCUUUGGAUAGAUAUUUGAGCUAGAAUCGAUGAAUGAUUUUACAUAAUACGUAGAAGAUCCCAAAAUAUGAGAAAAUUGGGUGUUACGUGAAGUGAUACUUGUAACAAUUCGAUUACGAGAGAAUCAAGAAAUACAAUGAUUUUUAUGCGUAAAUAAAAGUUCACGAGAGUCGAAACUUUUGAUGUAAAAGGGCGACCACAACUAUGAUAGUGAGUCGACUAGCUUUCACCAGGUAUUUAGUUCACUCACAAGAGCAACAUUUGCACUCAAUGUGAUAUUUGAAAGCAUUGAAAAGAAGCUAUGCCAUGUGUGUGCUAUCAAUUGCAAUUUUUCACUUUGCAAUGGUUAUGAAUUUGCUCCUAAGCUUGAAGAUGUGGGAUUAUCUUUUUUGAGAAAUCCCAUUGACAUCAUAGUAGUGAGCAGUAUACCUUUACUGAUCCUUCAUUGUGGAGUUUGAACAACUUCUUGAUAGAUGCUACACAUCUCUGCUUGUUCACUUCCACUCAUUGUAGAAAUCUACAGGGUGAGUCAUCCAUCCUUGAGUUAUAUGCAUUUACAUUUGCAGCAAGUGUGAGGAAAUUUGUGCACCUCAAGUACAAGAGUUCCGCUGUAUAAAACACAAAAAC